rnacentral:lncRNA from 1 species
CCAGAGUACUUUGAGCUUGACAAGCCUGACUUUGACCCAAUUGCCGCUAUUGGAAUUGAGAUCUGGACAAUGCAGGAUGGCAUCCUAUUUGACAACAUUCUUAUUGCCGAUAAUGAGAAGGUAGCCACCUCUGUCCGGGAGAAGACAUGGAAGCCCAAGUUUGAUGCCGAGAAGGAAAAACAGAAGGCUGAGGAGGCUGCAGCAGGUGCAUCAGAGGGCCUUUCUGAAAUCCAGGUAAUUCAUUCUUCUGGCGUUUUCCAGACAUUAUGUUUGACAUUCCUUCAGUGAAGUAACGAACUUUUCUUGACAUUGUCAAACUCAUGUUUUGUUCCAUAUCUCCAGCAAAUAUUUUUUACUGAAUCCUUCAUUGUAUCUCUGCUUGCAUGUUAUCACUGACUGAUUUGGUAUGCACACUGCAGAAGAAGAUCUUCGACAUUUUGUACAAAGUUGCAGACAUCCCGUUCUUGGAACCAUACAAGACCAAGAUCAUUGUAGGGCUCAAAAUCCUUUCUUAUGUCCUGUGUUCAAACAGUUUGGUGUCUUCUCUGAAAAAUGACAUCUAAUUUCUCUUUGUUUCCCAGGAUGUGAUUGAGAAGGGAGAGACACAGCCAAACAUAACAAUUUCGAUUUUGGCCUCGGUUAUCGUCGUCAUUGUGACUGUACUCUUCAGAGCCCUGUUUGGUGGCAAGAAGCCAGUGGUACCAUAUUCUCUUGACACCUGCCAUUGCUGUAUACUGCUUAAAACCUGAACCAAACGACUGAUCGUAGCUUCUGCUUCUUUCAGGCACCUGUGAAGCCUGCUGCUGAGACCAAGAAGCCCAGUGCCGUCGUACCUGAUGCCGCCGCUGGAAGCAGCGGCGACAAGGAGGAUGACAAGGAUGCACCGCGCCGAAGGUCGCGAAGAGACGCAUAAACUAACUCUUGGUGCCUUCACAUUUUGAAGGACUCGGUUAUAGCCUUUUUGAGAGUGUAUAAUCGAACCCUCUGCUGCUAGUAGCAACCUCUAGUUUUAAGUCGCUUGACAUUACGAGCCGGCGAAGCUCGUGUUGUUCGGUUGUUUGUGUGCUGUCCUGAAUCAGCUAGAAGAGAUGUCUUUUUUUCCUUUCCUUUUGUUUUUUAUUUCUUUUGUUUUAUAUCAGAUGAAACAUGAAGCUUGUGUUCGGUUGUUUGUGUGCUGUGCUAAAUCAGGUACUCCCUCCGAUCCAUAUUUAGUAGAAAUUACUGCUUUUCAUUCAGUUGAGUUGGUACCUAAGGUUAAAUUAGAAGCGACCUUUUUGGUAGCUGCUCUACGAGUUGAAGGUGUCUCGGUUGACGAGUCUUUGUUAGCUUUACCAGA